AAAAAGACAAACCCUGAUUUCCGUGUCCAAUGUUUAACCGUCCGUCUUAUUUGAAAAAAUUAUGAAAAAACGUUAAAAAAAAGUCACACAUAAAAUAUUAAUCAUGUUUUAUCAUCUAACAACAAUAAAAAUACAAAUUAUAAAAAAAAUUCAUAUAAGACGGACAGUCAAAGUUAGGCACAGAAACCCAGAGUUUGUAUUUUUU
rnacentral:pre_miRNA from 1 species